rnacentral:lncRNA from 1 species
AACUGUGGCAUUGAUUGUCUUGACACCUCCACUGAAAUGUCUAUUUAAGAUUUUUCAUAUGAUGUGUUACAUGUGGCUACAUGGCCAAUUCGUGGGCUGCGUUGCAGGCUGCUCACUUCUACCAUACCAUAUUGCUUCUCAUUGGAAACUCACCUUCAACAACUGGUCCAUUUUCUCCCCGACCCCUUCAAAACACUGUUGGACAGUCAUACCAUAAUGGAAGCAGCAUGAUAUGGAAAGAAACUUCCCAGAUUUUUCGUCUAUAAGUCACUUUCUUCUACUAUAGUAAUUCUGAGAUUGAAAAAGUUCUAUCAUGAAGUUCUGUGUAGGAGACAGCUAUGGUUCUUAUCAGUCUCAAGGGAGUGACUCCUUUUUGAGACUGGGCACUUUAAAUUACAUCCAUUGAUGCCUCCACUUUAUAGCCCUUUAACAUAAUAUUUUAAUGUAGAUGAUUUAUGAAAUAUCAGUUGCACCUCUGGAGUAUGCUGGAAUUAAAUGCCAUUUAGAGUCUUUUCCUAUGAUGACAUUAUGCCACUCUAGACCUUUUCUCUGUAAAAUCGCUUCUCUUUUUUAGUAUCUGCUGUAAAUUUUAUGAUUGAUUGCAGAUAUUUGUCUGCAGGGCCCAAAGCCCAUACACUUCUUUCUCGUGUUGCAUUCCUUAUUAGGUCACCCAAAAAUAACAGUGCCAAAAGCCGUUAUGAAGACAGACAUUUAAAGGAAUUUUAGGGUGAAGCUCAUGAAAAGAAGGAGCUACAUAAUAUGCUCUGCUUAGUGUUUCACUUUCUCUAAACUCAAAUAGUCUUCUUUUUAUAACAUGGGUAAAAGAGAGGGCAAAUUAAACUUUCUCACCACUAUUAAACAUUACAAGUUACAGAUGUAUUUCAACUGGGCAUCAUUAAUAUGUCAUAAAUUAUUUAAAUUCGCUUUCCCUUCUUAGAAAUGGCAAGGAAAUCACAUACAUACACACACAGACACACACACGCACAGCCCCAAAAUGGCAGUGAAUUCAUAUCACUAAGUAGAAUUCCCCAAUA